GUAGGGAAUAUUGGGCAAUGGAUGCAAGUCUGACCCAGCCAUCCCGCGUGCCGGAAGAAGGCCCUCAGGGUUGUAAACGGCUUUUGACGGUGAAGAAUCGACAGGAUGCGUCCUGUUUUGACGGUAGCCGUUGAAUAAGCACCGGCUAACUCCGUGCCAGCAGCCGCGGUAAUACGGAGGGUGCGAGCGUUGUCCGGAUGUAUUGGGUUUAAAGGGUGCGUAGGCUGGAAGGUCAGUCAGCGGUGAAAUGCUGUCGCUUAACGAUAGUCUUGCCGCAGAUACUUCCUUUCUUGGAUGAGGAGGAGGCCACUGGAACGGAUGGUGUAGCGGUGAAAUGCAUAGAUAUCAUCCAGAACACCGAUUGCGAAGGCAGGUGGCUGUACCUUAAUCGACGCUGAUGCACGAAAGCAUGGGGAGCAAACAGGAUUAGAAACCCGGGUAGUCC
rnacentral:rRNA from 1 species